CCCGGGCGCUGGGCUCCUUACCCGCCGCGCGGCCCCACCCCCAGCAUUAGCUGGGUGGCAUUGUUUAACAUCUGCUCCUCCUCCACCUUGUUGCUCCUCUGCGGUUCUGCAGGCCUCCAGUUCCAUCUUCCCCUUUUAGGAGUUAGGUCCCCCUUCUGGGUUUUGUUGUUGAUGUUGGUGUUAGCGUAGUUUUAGUGUUAAGUUUAGUUUUAGCGUUAGGCAUAGGUUACUGUUAGUAGUUUAGAGUUAGCCAUAGAUUGCUGCUAGCAAUUGGCAGUACAUGCCGCUCACUCAAACAUCAAGGAAGAGAGUAUGAGUGGCUGAGAAAUGGAGUUGGGACUCAGGGGAGCAAUAGGUGCCUGUGUGGCCCUUGGAAGGUAGGUGUGCCUUACUGUAAGUGUGCGCUAAGGUGGUGCUGUUCAAACACAGCUUGUGGCACUGUCUGCAACAAAUCUGCUUUCUGUUAAGCUUUUCCCUUAUUUCAUGUCCACCUAUCCUCUUCAGCUCCUGCUCCCCUCACCUGCAAGUGGAGCAAUGCUCAAGUUGGAGGAAUCUUUUCCUCGGCAGGUGGUAAAAGACGAUGCAGCUGCGUUUCAUGCCCUUCUUUGUUAUUGGAAAGCAGCCUCCUUGAGAGUGGGAGAGCAGCAGGCUCCUGAAGGGCAUUUCUCCCCAGCUGAGAUCCCUGAGCCCAUGCUGGCGGAGAAUGUGCUGCACCACGAUCU